rnacentral:piRNA from 1 species
GAGAAGGUUUACCUAUCUGGGCC